rnacentral:misc_RNA from 1 species
AAUACUAUUUUUAUCAUUUUUCAUAGAACAAGAUUAGCGAAAUAUAAUAUAUAUAUAUAUAUAUAUAAGCUAUAGGUUUAUGGUUUCUACGAAGACAGACUGACAAAAUCAACCAAUAGGUUAAUAGUUCCGCAUAUAUUAUAUUUUGCAUAAUUGCGAUAUAUUUAUAGUAUUAUCGGCGGUUAAUGUAUUUUACAAAAUUUGUUCUAUAGAGUACUUUAUCUAAAAGGUAAAGCAGUACAUAACAAUAAUAUUAAUCAAUAAACUAUACAACAGUUGGCGCAUGGCUGACUAUAUACUCAAUACUAUCACAAGAUCUCUACUCCGAACAGACUACUAGCUGAAAAUCGUUCUUCGUCUGACGAGAGUUUCCUUGCACCUACCUAUGAAAUAUGGAGAGAAAUCAGACAGUUAUUACCAGUAAGUGCAAUACACUUCACCUCAGUUUCAAGUUUUAUAAAAUACCUUGGAAUACUAUAAGAAUAAACUGUGGAAAACGAAUUGACACUGGCAAGGGGGCGUAUUGAUUAAAUUACGGACUUUUGACUAUCCUAAUGACUAAUAGGGAUUUUUUACUCUUUUUGUAUUAAUUAUAACUAAUGAAUUAGCCCGGAUUUUAACACAUUUUUUUUUCAUUUUUAUUCAGCGACGACGACAACCACGACGGAGGAAAACUCUGGUAUAAUGGAUAGAGCCUAUUACAGAGGUAUUCCUGCUGUUACGAAGGCUUUUGAAGCAAUCUUAUCUCUAAUUGCAUUUAUUCUUAUCAUGGUGGCUCCAUCUUGUGUCAAGACAUCGAUUACAGCUGGAUAUUUCAAGUUUGUUACCAUAACAGCUUUCAUAUUAGUUUGCAUAGUAUGGCUAUUAUUUCUCUGCAAAUUACAAAGAAGAAUAUUUAGGUGUACAUGUAUAAAUUGGCCAUUUUUAAUGUUUGCCUUUUACGGCAUAAUAUGCGUUUUCUAUUUUUUUGGAGACCUUAUUUUGGCUGUUCAAGCCUGCAAUGGAGUUGAAAAAGCUAGUGUAGCUUUCGGUUUCUUGGCCCUAUUUGCAUUUUUAUUCGAUUUUGGUUUCUCCGUUCGAGAUUAUAUAAUGGCUAGGAGAGGCUUGAACAAAGCCAUAAGAGAGACAACGAACGUUGCCGAAGGAAAAUAUUAAAACUGUUAAAAUGUUCAAAAGAAAGUUUGCAAAGUUUGCUACUGCUCAUAUAGAAUGAAUGAUUUAUGAAAGCUACGGAACAAAUUGAAUGUCCGCUAGGGAAAAAAAGCACCAUAUGUACAAAAUAAAGACUAAAAACUGCAUUUAAUAUGCUAAAAAAAAGAAAUCAAUUUUUGCCCCACAUUUUAUUAAUGUAUUUACAAAGUUUCUUCUCAGUUUUGCCAAAUAUGCUUGUAAAAUGUAUAAAUAUAUAGCUCUGGUUCAAUUUGCAAAGAAUUCAUUAAUAGAAAAACAUGCAAAAAACAUACAGUUCGUAGAUUUUUGCAAUAGAAAAAUAGACUUUUUCAUUGUUCUACAAUACACUUCGGAGUUUGAAAAAGUUUAAUAGUUACUUACCAACCGAAUAUCUUGCAGUCAGUUGUCC